rnacentral:misc_RNA from 1 species
GAUGAAGAACGUAGCGAAAUGCGAUAAGUAAUGUGAAUUGCAGAAUUCAGUGAAUCAUCGAAUCUUUUAACGCACAUUGCGCCCUCUGGUAUUCCGGGGGGCAUGCCUGUUCGAGCGUCAUUAUAACCACUCAAGCUCUCGCUUGGUAUUGGGGCUCGCGGUUCCGCGGCCCCUAAAAUCAGUGGCGGUGCCUGUCGGCUCUACGCGUAGUAAUACUCCUCGCGAUUGAGUCCGGUAGGUCUACUUGCCAGCAACCCCCAAUUUUUACAGGUUGACCUCGGAUCAGGUAGGGAUACCCGCUGAACUUAAGCAUAUCAAUAAGCGGAGGA